AUGGCCGCUCGCAUCGGCGCUGCUGUCCUCUGCGUGGUGUUGAUCGUUAGCCUGGGGCUCAUAGCCACGCCGACCGAAGCUCGCGCCGUGGCGGGCGUCGUCUAUGCUGCCGCGGUCGCCAAUGCGGCCGGCGCCGCGGCCGCUACCAGCGGCGCAGGCGUUCCUCCGGGGAGGUGGAACGCGAGGAGGCUGCAGGGAGACGCCGCUCACAAGCGGGAGGUGCCAGGCGGCCCGGACCCGGAGCACCAUCACUAG
rnacentral:rRNA from 1 species